rnacentral:tRNA from 1 species
GCAGGGGUUCCCUAGCCAGGUCAAAGGGGUGGGGCUUAGGACCCUAUGGCGAAGGCCUUCGUGGGUUCAAAUCCCACCCCCUGCA